rnacentral:rRNA from 1 species
UACGUAGGGUGCAAGCGUUAAUCGGAAUUACUGGGCGUAAAGCGUGCGCAGGCGGUUUUGUAAGUUUGUCGUGAAAUCCCCGGGCUCAACCUGGGAAUGGCGAUGAAGACUGCAAGGCUAGAAUCUGGCAGAGGGGGGUAGAAUUCCACGUGUGAGCAGUGAAAUGCGUAGAGAUGUGGAGGAACACCGAUGGCGAAGGCAGCCCCCUGGGUCAAGAUUGACGCUCAUGCACGAAAGCGUGGGGAGCAAACGAGGAUCGAAACC